AUUGAACGCUGGCGGCAUGCCUUACACAUGCAAGUCGAACGGUAACAGGUCUUCGGGUGCUGACGAGUGGCGAACGGGUGAGUAAUACAUCGGAACGUGCCCGAUCGUGGGGGAUAACGAGGCGAAAGCUUUGCUAAUACCGCAUACGAUCUACGGAUGAAAGCGGGGGAUCUUCGGACCUCGCGCGGACGGAGCGGCCGAUGGCAGAUUAGGUAGUUGGUGGGAUAAAAGCUUACCAAGCCGACGAUCUGUAGCUGGUCUGAGAGGAUGAUCAGCCACACUGGGACUGAGACACGGCCCAGACUCCUACGGGAGGCAGCAGUGGGGAAUUUUGGACAAUGGGCGAAAGCCUGAUCCAGCCAUGCCGCGUGCAGGAUGAAGGCCUUCGGGUUGUAAACUGCUUUUGUACGGAACGAAAAGCCUCUUUCUAAUAAAGAGGGGUCAUGACGGUACCGUAAGAAUAAGCACCGGCUAACUACGUG
rnacentral:rRNA from 1 species